GACGAACGCUGGCGGCGUGCUUAACACAUGCAAGUCGAGCGGUAAGGCCCUUUCGGGGGUACACGAGCGGCGAACGGGUGAGUAACACGUGGGUGACCUGCCCUCAGCUCUGGGAUAAGCCUGGGAAACUGGGUCUAAUACUGGAUAUGACUCCACGGUGCAUGUCGUGGGGUGGAAAGCCUUGUGCGGCUGAGGAUGGGCCCGCGGCCUAUCAGCUUGUUGGUGGGGUGANGGCCUACCAAGGCGACGACGGGUAGCCGGCCUGAGAGGGCGACCGGCCACACUGGGACUGAGACACGGCCCAGACCCCUACGGGAGGCAGCAGUGGGGAAUCUUGCGCAAUGGGCGAAAGCCUGACGCAGCGACGCCGCGUGAGGGAUGACGGCCU
rnacentral:rRNA from 1 species